rnacentral:rRNA from 1 species
UACGGAGGGUGCUAGCGUUGUUCGGAAUCACUGGGCGUAAAGCGCGUGUAGGCGGCCUGUUAAGUCUGAUGUGAAAGCCCGGGGCUCACCCCCGGAAGUGCAUUGGAAACCGCCAGGCUCGAGUCCCGGAGAGGAGGGUGGAAUUCCUGGUGUAGCGGUGAAAUGCGUAGAUAUCAGGAGGAACACCGGUGGCGAAGGCGGCCCUCUGGACGGUGACUGACGCUGAGACGCGAAAGCGUGGGGAGCAAACAGG